GUAAGGAUAAUCUGACUGUGACAUAUGUCACCACAUAGGGGUUGAUUUGGCCAGACUGGCUAGCAAGGCAGGUCUCUCUCCUUCCCUCAUGUCCUCAUGUGUGUCCUCCUGAUUCUGUGAGCUCUGUGGAAGAGGAUAAUCUUCCCUAGCAGAGGAAGAACAAGCCUGUUCUUCCAUCGGAGAGAUGGUGGACAAGUAGCUGCCUUUCCAGCUAGAAUCUCUAUCCAAGCUCCCAAAACACAUUAAGCAUUUAUAUUGUAAUAUAUGAAGAAUCUGU
rfam:Cavia porcellus supercont2_23 genomic scaffold, whole genome shotgun sequence.